AGAGUUUGAUCAUGGCUCAGAUUGAACGCUGGCGGCAGGCCUAACACAUGCAAGUCGAGCGCGAAAGUUCCUUCGGGGAUGAGUAGAGCGGCGGACGGGUGAGUAACGCGUAGGAAUCUGCCCGGUAGUGGGGGACAACUCGAGGAAACUCGAGCUAAUACCGCAUACGCCCUAAGGGGGAAAGCAGGGGAUCUUCGGACCUUGCGCUAUCGGAUGAGCCUGCGUCAGAUUAGCUAGAUGGUGGGGUAAUGGCCUACCAUGGCGACGAUCUGUAGCUGGUCUGAGAGGAUGAUCUGCCACACUGGGACUGAGACACGGCCCAGACUCCUACGGGAGGCAGCAGUGGGGAAUAUUGGACAAUGGGGGCAACCCUGAUCCAGCCAUGCCGCGUGUGUGAAGAAGGCUCUAGGGUUGUAAAGCACUUUCAGUAGGGAAGAAAAGUUAAUAGUUAAUACCUAUUAGCCCUGACAUUACCUACAGAAGAAGCACCGGCAAACUCCGUGCCAGCAGCCGCGGUAAUACGGAGGGUGCGAGCGUUAAUCGGAAUUACUGGGCGUAAAGCGCGCGUAGGCGGUUUGGUAAGCUGGAUGUGAAAGCCCCGGGCUCAACCUGGGGAAUUGCAUCCAGAACUGCCUGACUAGAGUACAGUAGAGGUGAGUGGAAAUUUCCUGUGUAGCGGUGAAAUGCGUAGAUAUAGGAAGGAACAUCAGUGGCGAAAGGCGGCUCACUGGACUGAUACUGACGCUGAGGUGCGAAAGCGUGGGGAGCAAACAGGAUUAGAUACCCUGUAGUCCACGCCGUAAACGAUGUCUACUAGCCGUUGGGGUCCUUGAGACUUUA
rnacentral:rRNA from 1 species